GUUGGGAUCUUGUACCUCUACAUGACAAGUCUUGAAGCUUGUUCUUGCCUUUAUUUCUCUCAUGGAAAAUGGGUAAGGCAACAGUGGCUGUAAGUAAGAGCUGUUAUGAAGGAAUUAAGAGCAGCAAAUGCAAAGUGCUUAGUGUAGUUCUUGGCACACCAUAGCACUCAGUAGGGUCAGCCACUGUCAUGAAAUCAGGAGUCAACCUAAUAGGUACACACCCAAGGGUUCACCACCAACCUGAAGCUAAAGAAGAUUUGAAGUCUGGCAAACUGGUCAAAAGCCCAAAGGCUUCUCUGACUAAGGGUUUUCUUGCAGCUGUGGACCUAGUGGGCAGUUGUGAGGAGAUUUGAAGAAGUUUGUGCACCAAGAGAUCCAAGGGUUUGUAGAACAAGAGACUCACUGUUGAGGGUGGUAAGGAAGAGGAGCCACAUGUAGUUUGUCCCACUGUUGGAACUGCCUUGUUAUCUCACAUGCUUAUUCUAAAAGAGCAAGAGUCCCUCACAGGUCAAAGUGCUGCCCAAACUGUGUUACAGAGCAGCCACCCACAUCAAGAGUCUGAGACUGGAGCCACCCCGGACACUGUAUGUGGGCAGCAAAGGCUGAUGAGAGGGAGCUGUUGGAGACACCAUAGGGUCACCACAUGUGGCUCCCAACCCCUCUGGAGAACCUUUAGGAUAAGCUGCUGCAGGUGGAGCCAGCCUGCACAGACCCUCUCCCCCACCACAUGCCAGCAGUGCCCACCUUGCUGUACCAGCACUCCAUUGCUCACACCAGUGCUACCUAUUAAGAGACCCCCGGAGGCUCCAGGAGACCAGGAAGUCACUCCGCAGGAGGUACCUGCAUCUUCAAAGAAAAGGUUGGAGAAAGCAAUGCUUAACCUGAAGAAAUGGCUGCAUAGUAGGAAGAGUGGCAUCAAAGGUUUCCCAGCAGGUCACUGAGGAAAUGGCCACUUCAUAAACGUGUAAAGCAAUACUUAGUGGAGAGCCAGUUCCCAGUCUCCACGUGUCCAAAACAUAGAGCCGAGACAGGAACCGAGAGUAGAUCUUUCUACAAGCAAUCCACUGAGUAGCCAGGCUGUAGGUAGCAAAGAGGUAUGCAAAAAUAAGCACGCCUCAUACAGCAAGGAUGGCUCAUCAUCCCAGCAACCAGCUGCAAGUUGGGACACUGCCUCGCACUCCAUCUACGGUGAGCUUGAUUCUCAGGCCACACUCUGUUUCCUCCUCCUCAGCUUUCACCCAUGGCAGCUGAGAUUGCCACGGUCCAUGAAGUCAGGAGGCCUUUUUCCACCAGGUCUUCCUUGCAGCAGCUCUACCUGCAUUCCAGUUUUUCACUGCCACCCCAGAGCCAAAACCUAUCCCAGACUUGUGGGGGAGGAGUAAACAAGCCCAUUGCCCCCAACUUUAGGAGGAGAUGUGGAAUUUAAUGAACUCGGUUCACAUUGCAGGGCUGUGAUUCCUCUUACCUUUAACGUGAACUCACAGGCGGAUUAAACUGAAAGAAAAACUACCAUUUGAGUUACAUUCUCAGCUGAUUGGAAACAUGCAUUACCUCCCUGUGACCAGACCGUGAGAAGGGAAGUUAUUAUCUUUCUUUAGAGUUUGUAAACCCUUUAUGGCUGAGGCAGCUUUAAUCCUGCCUGGGGGGAAAAAAUGAUGCGGAAUAAAUUACUCCCAUUUACCUUUGUUUUCCAAUCACAUGCUCCAGUGGGAACAAAACAUCCUAAGUGAGGGGAUGUGGAGAGCCAGGUGAUCCUUGACAGAAGAGUUUAAUUAUUUUCUUCUUUAAGCACGUGAGCUGAAAGGGCUUUAAAGCAUCAUUUGGCAAGGGGGCUUGUUCCACAGAAAUGUGCACUCCAGCGAGGAUGCCAGCAUCCCCUGGCUUUUCCUGGUUCCUCUGCUUUUUCUUUCCAAUGGGCAGUGGCCCCAACCCAUCCCACAAUGCCUGUUUCUUAAUGGGGCAUUCAGAGCAAACCUUUUCACUCCAGACAUUUAGGAACAACCAGGAAGGAGCCAAAGAAAAGGCAGCUUUGAAUCAAAAUCAAAUCAGUGUCUGGGCUAGGGCUCUAGAAAGGCAGACUUCACUUCUUUGUUAUUUCUCUGAUCCGCUCUGUUACCUAAAUGACACUGUGCUAAUGUGUAGGCG
ensembl:lincRNA